AUUGAACGCUGGCGGAAUGCUUUACACAUGCAAGUCGAACGGCAGCACGGACUUCGGUCUGGUGGCGAGUGGCGAACGGGUGAGUAAUGUAUCGGAACGUGCCCAGUCGUGGGGGAUAACGUAGUGAAAAUUACGCUAAUACCGCAUACGAUCUAUGGAUGAAAGCGGGGGAUCGCAAGAACUCGCGCGAUUGGAGCGGCCGAGAUCAGAUUAGGUAGUUGGUGGGGUAAAGGCCCACCAAGCCAACGAUCUGUAGCUGGGCUGAGAGGACGACCAGCCACACUGGAACUGAGACACGGUCCAGACUCCUACGGGAGGCAGCAGUGGGGAAUUUUGGACAAUGGGCGAAAGCCUGAUCCAGCCAUUCCGCGUGCAGGAUGAAGGCCCUCGGGUUGUAAACUGCUUUUGUACAGAACGAAAAGGUUUCUACUAAUACUAGGAGCUCAUGACGGUACUGUAAGAAUAAGCACCGGCUAACUACGUGCCAGCCGCCGCGGUAA
rnacentral:rRNA from 1 species